GUUUCCGUAGUGUAGUGGUUAUCACGUGUGCUUCACACGCACAAGGUCCCCGGUUCGAGCCCGGGCGGGAACA
rfam:Glossina austeni unplaced genomic scaffold Scaffold346, whole genome shotgun sequence.